AUCACUUCUCGGCCUUUUGGCUAAGAUCAAGUGUAGUAUCUGUUCUCAUCAGUUUAGUAUCUGAUAUGUCCUCUAUCUGAGGACAAUAUAUUAAAUAGAUUUUUGGAGCAGGGAGAUGGAAUAGGAGCUUGCUCCGUCCACUCCACGCAUCGACCUGGUAUUGCAGUACCUCCAGGAACGGUGCACUCGCU
ensembl:snRNA U2 U2 spliceosomal RNA